rnacentral:rRNA from 1 species
GUGCCAGCCGCUGCGGUAAUACGUAGGUGGCAAGCGUUGUCCGGAUUUAUUGGGCGUAAAGCGGGCGCAGGCGGUUUCUUAAGUCUGAUGUGAAAGCCCCCGGCUCAACCGGGGAGGGUCAUUGGAAACUGGGAAACUUGAGUGCAGAAGAGGAGAGUGGAAUUCCAUGUGUAGCGGUGAAAUGCGUAGAUAUAUGGAGGAACACCAGUGGCGAAGGCGGCUCUCUGGUCUGUAACUGACGCUGAGGCUCGAAAGCGUGGGAGCAAACAGGAUUAGAUACCCUGGUAGUCCAUGCCGUAAACGAUGAGUGCUAAGUGUUGGAGGUUUCCGCCUUCAGUGCUGCAGCUAACGCAUUAAGCACUCCGCCUGGGGAGUACGACCGCAAGGUUGAAACUCAAAGAAUUGACGGGGGCCCGCACAAGCGGUGGAGC